GUGAUGGAGUGACCAGCGGACCAUGACCUGAUGACCAAGCAGUACAGUAGCAACUUUGUGUCGAAGGUACAUCAAUUACAUGAGCGGCUGGAUGAAAAGCAAGGCAACAGGGUGCUAGGUUUAAGCAAGUAUUGUCCGUCACAUCCAUCGAUCAAAAUUGACAAAGGAGUAACAAACUACGCAGAGGCUGGAUCAAACACGUACACACCAUUUUAUUCUUGCGCACGAUACAUGAACACACGAUUGUACUCGAGAAAAAAAAAGAUACAUGAAACACACGGUUCGCACGGAGCUGCUCGACGGACGUCGUACCAGUAGCCAUGGUAGGAGCUCGUACGUGGUAGUACGUUACGUAUUAGUAGCAUAGGCGGCGUGGCGCUGCCUAGCACGCCGCCGGCGGCGGCGGCGGAGGCCCGGCUCCUAGCACUUCGGUACGGGGACGCCGCAGCUGACGAGGGUCUUGCGGGCGUUGGGGCUGUUGAUGUAGCUGGAGUACGCGCGGUUGUGCGCGAACUGGCAGAAGCACCCCCGCUGACUCUUUAGGUUGUUGCAGCACGUCUUGGACGGCGGGGUCCCGCUCACGAUCGGGGAGGCGCACACCGCCAGGUUCCCGGCGUUGCACUGCGCCGCUCCGCCCGUUGCCAUCGCCGCCGCCACCAGCGCCACCAGCACGAGCAUCGCUGCGGCCUUCGCCAUAUGGCUCGACUUUCUUUUGAUCGCAAACGUACGUGCCGCGGUGGUGGUGGUGGAAGUGUGUG
rnacentral:lncRNA from 1 species